UUAAAUUGAAGAGUUUGAUCAUGGCUCAGAUUGAACGCUGGCGGUAGGCCUAACACAUGCAAGUCGAACGGUAACAG
rnacentral:rRNA from 1 species